GUUCUGUCAUCGUGCAGAGGACAGCAGAGUGAAAAAUCCAGUUGCUGUCUUCAAAGUCAAUGAUGACAGACGCAUGCCAGUGCACUCCUCUGCUCCGCCCUUCUAAUUUGUGACGCUAACUAUUGACACUUGACACAGCUGCAGCCAAUCCACCACCUCAAGCGUCUGCAGCCAAAGGAGCGAAUUCAUGUCACCAAGGAGCAGGCAAGGACUGAAUGAAGAACUCAAUGGAUGGCAACAAUUUGGAAACUCUAGCCAACCUCAUAGAGAACUAUCCGUGCAAUCAAAGCAAGAUACUUACAAAUAUAUAUAUACAAGCUACAGCUCCUGUUUCGCCAGCAUGCCCUCAGUCAUGACGUUGGGCCCAAGGCUACCUCUUUUCUACUUUCAAUGACGGAUUGGAGCAAAAUUGUUCAUCCCGGAGGUAUGUGCACAUAUUUUUCGAGCCUUUUCUUAUUGAAGGUUCUGGCUGCAGGGCCCAAAGGCAAUCAUUCAAGAGUACUUCUAUCCAAACUUCUAAUCCAAAGCCUCGGCCCAGGUUCUUGUGAUGACGGUAGCAUGUCAGGAGCUGGUCCAGGUGAGACGUCUGAUCUGAAAAGGAAAACAAGGCAUGGGAAAAAAGAAAAAAAGGCCUUGUGUUUUCGGCAAUGUGGCUCUUUCCACGUGCCCACAAGUUUUUGUUUUCCUAUGUUUUCAAGUCGCGGAGAAAUGAUGAGUGGAUGUCAUUGUCUUGGUGGGUGAGGGCUUACACCUUUCAGUAGGGGUGCAUGGCUCUCAUUUAUAAUUGCAAAUCUGGAACACACGUUUCGGUGCAGAACACGCCCAUUUUAAGGGUAGAUAAACGGACCUCUACUAACUUUGUGAAAAUUCGUUCUCUUGCUGCACCCUCAGCUGGGUACAAGAAAGCGCGAAAGCAGUAGGAGUCAACCACCUUCGUCCGUGAUGCUCAUUUCAACACUUUCUGUGAAACCAAAUGCUUCCAUCCAGAAGUUUUGACCCAGUCUCCACUUUUCAUGAGGAGAAAAAAGUUUAGAGAGUUUAGCCCUUGGCUGUUUCUACUACAGGCAUAUGUUUCGCAGGUAAAAAGUCACAAAGGACAUCUUGCACAAUUUGUGGAGGUCAAUACUGAAUUGUUUCCGUUGGUGAUUCACGCUUGUGAGGUUGUUGUUACGUUUCAGUAGUUAAACUAACAUUUACACGUGGUGGUUCCAUGAUAUUGUGUAAAAUUCACUAAAAAUUGUGUUAAUAAUUUCAGUUGUUCGAAA